GCCCUCGUAGCUUAAUUGGAUAAAGCAGGGCCCCUCUAAGGCCAAGAGUGGCUGUUCGAGUCAGCCCGAGGGCA
rnacentral:tRNA from 4 species